rnacentral:rRNA from 1 species
CAGUAGGUAUUCUUUUUGGCGGGGAGCGUGCGUGCUAUGGGUGAGCGGGUAUACGGUGGCGGGAGCGAGCGGGUAUGCGGUGGCGGGAGCGAGCGGGUGGGGGAUGUGCCGGCCGGCGGCGGCGGCGGAGUGUGGUGGCGAGGAGGCGAGCCGGCGACGGGGUGUCUACGCUAGCGGCAACGGCAGGCGCCGAGGAGGCGAUCCAACGACGGCGUACCUACGCCAGCGGCGGGCAGCAAGCCGACUACACACUACAGGUCAGUGGCGGAGUAAACGAUACCGCUCGGCGGCGGCUGGAGGAGCCGGCUUGUGGUACCGGUACCUGGUUCGAGACGGUCUGGAAGAGAGCGCUGAAGGCCGGAAGGAGAGCUGGUCUAGCUGCUGCCCUGCGGGUCUAGGCUCAGUAGACUGUGCUGCGGCAAGCAAAGGCCGAACGGAUCGGCGUGACUCGUAGGCUUGGUGGAGGGGUCUGUCGCGGCGGUAGCAGCGGUUCCGCCGCGGCCAGAGCCGGUGCCGCGUCCUCCACAGCAGUAGUGGCAGGAACAGUAGUAGACCGACCCGGCAGCUGCUAGAGGACGUCAAGAGGGAUGCCCGUGGCAGCUGCCGUGACUACCAGAUAGUGUUUAGUUAGUCCCUAUUCUUUUCGCUCCACGUUGAGUUCGCUUAUUUGUCAUCUUCUUACUUCUUCAUUCGUCCCCCACCUACAUCUAGGAGGUUCCCUGGUAGUUCCAUUCCGUAAUUUGACUUAAACACCGUGAUGACUUAUAUACUUGACCGAACAAUCCUGGUUGAAUAGACUUUGAUUACACACUUUUCGACCUGUCCCGCUUUAUUAAACAUUCAUAUGAUGUUUUGACAUGCCUUUUAGAAUACCGUUAAAAGGAUAACUACGAAGUUCCAUGACCAACACGGGUGGACAACACCCUAACGAAGAUGGAUUUGGUACACCUAAUGAGAAGCAUGUUAAAAGAACGUCAGUCACAUGAACACUUUACGUACGUCGUUGUUCCAGACGGUUGGUAACAGUAACAACGUUCUAAUGAAAAGACUUUCAACAUUUCUCUUGCUCUCUAUCUUGAUUCAUUCAACGAGAUCGAGAGUGGUUCGAUACAGUAACUGGUCCAGUGAUUCGAAACGAUAAGCCCACGUAUACUGUGAUUAAUAAGUCACCCAACCCGUGUUGUACCGCGAGUCGUCGGGUAUCCUUUGUUUACCAAGAGAUUCAACUCUACCACAACACUAAUUAACAACCGAACAACGGUAGUCUAAAUGAAUGUACUUCUUUACGUACCAUGUCUACCACAAUGAACGACAAGAUCCACACCACUAGAGUUGUAAAAACGAACCGCGAGGAUAUUUCGAAUGAAAAGGCAUACUGACCUUGACCUUUUGUAGUAAGAACAAGCCGCCUGCGAGUCACGUUGGCUAGUACAAUGAUACUAACGAGAAGAUUUUCUGGAUCCGCGUUCGUUUUUCGAGUCAUGCUAUUAGCUUCCUCUUAGGAAUUACUUGCUAUCACAACGAGACCCGGAACGUAAACCUUAGCGUAGAGAUGAUACCGACCCGAAAUAAAAGCUACCAUGUUAGUAUGUCUAAAGUGAUUGUGAGCGUCAGUCUAUAUACCGAAAGAAGUGACACCGUCUGUCUGCGCGUCCGUACGAGAGUUAGAAGAGACUGAUAAACACGGUAGGAAGGGUGGCUUCAUAAUGAUCUUUCUCUUCGAUACUUCUGUAUACACGACCUACUACUAAGUACCCUCUCCGUCCAGGUCGGGUGGUGUUGGAGGUUCUAUAGGUUGAGCAAAGUGUAAGCAGACGUUCUUAGCAAUAUCGAUCCGUAGCGUGGUGGAACGGCUACAGCAAAGACGCGCUGAGAAAGCACAACCUGAUCAUCGGGAAGACUUGUAUCCGGAGUGACAGAAUUAUCGGUUGACCGUAGAAGGCUAUAUAUAGAAGGUACAACCGAGUCAGUAGGAUCAUUACUACCUGUCGCUACCCGAGCACCGACGGACCCAGUUUAGACGAGGCUUCUAGUAUACGCAAGUUGUCUGACGGUCUGAGGCACAGACUAUUAAAAUCGUACCGACGUUUCAGUGCUUAAAAAAACAAAACAACCCACUGUCUGUCAAGUUCCUUCGUACCCUCUGUCGACUAAUAGUCAAGUUUCCGGUCUCCGAGUAAAAAUCUCAUCGCGUUAUAGUAACCGUACAGGUUC